rnacentral:misc_RNA from 1 species
AAGUCGUAACAAGGUUGCCGUAGGUGAACCUGCGGCAGGAUCAUUAACGAUUUAAAAACAAACUGUCCUUUUUGUUGGGCUGCUUCUCGAAGGAGAAAUUUUUCUCCGUUUCGAGCGAGCUAAAAACAGUAAAUGGUUUCCAAAACUAAAUCGACCUGCUUGAUAAGGGUCGCAGAAUUUACGAUCGAUUGCCGGCCGACAGGCGUACGCGAGAUGAAUAACCGGCGUCUUGCGAGAAGCCUUGGCUGACUCGUCGUCUGGUUUCCAAAAUUAAAUCGACCUAUUAUUAAGGGUCGCUUAAAAAAACUUGCCGAUCGGUGGAUCACUCGGCUGGUG